CUUUGGCCCUCUCCAUGGUCUCUCACUUCUCUUCCUCCCACUUUUAGACAUGGUCCUCACUCAACAUGAAGUGGAGUUCCACACAGGUGUCAUGGUGGGGGAGGAGCACGGGAGAGACUGCAGAAGCCUUGCUCCUGAUCCAUUAGCCUGCAACUGGGGUGUCUUGAGCAAGGGUGCUUGAGUCAUCCACAGACUCUUUUGUCUGCAGGCAUGGGUGUAAUGAGUUCACUAGACCCAAGAUAAAUGAUAAGUGUAUGUUUGAGGAUGAGGAACAACUCACACAGAACAAUAAAG
rnacentral:lncRNA from 1 species